GCAGCCGCCCUCCCUCCCGUCCGCUCCGCGUGCCGCUCCUCGCGCGCCGGGCUUUGCGGGCAGCCGGGCGCUCCGGGGCAGCGCCGAGUGACGCGGCGGGGCCCGGCCCGGCCCGGCCCACAGAGCAGAGCCGCGGCUGCCGGAGCUCGGGCCGUGCUGGGGCGUGGAAGGAGCUUGAAGAGCGUCCGCUUCCAACCCCUUCCACUAGAACAGGUGGCUCCAGGCCCCAUCCCACCUGGCCUUGAACACUUCCAGGGAUGGGGUAGCCGCAGCUUCUCUGGGCAACCUGUGACAGUGCUUCGCCACCCUGAGGAUAAAGAAUAUCCUAAAAGAUAAUCUAAACCUUCUCUCUUUCAAUCUGAACCCGUUCCCACGUGUUCUCUAUCGCUUCGUGCUCCGCCAUAUAGUCUUCCCUCACAGCAGAGCCGAUCCACCCUUUGGAACUCACUCCAGCAGCUCCAUGUCCUUCCUGUGCCGGUUCCCCAGAGCUGGAGGCAGCUCUGCAGCUGAGGUCUCCCCUGAGAGGGGCAGAAUCCCCCCUUCCCCCCAGGACACGUCUGCAUUUCUGGGCUGUAUGCACUGAGGGCCAGCUCAUGUCCAGCCUCUCAUCCAGUGCUCUCUUCUGGAAGAUGCACAGUCUGAGGCAAGUGCCAGCUUUUUUUUGUAAAGUGUUACCGGGCCUCAAAUGUAGCUUGUUACUCAAUUUCCUACUCUAUGACUAUAACCUUUAAGUGAUAAUAAAAAUACAGAUGUUGUGUUACAGCUUUACCAGAUAAUGCAGAACAACAGUUCUAUCACUCAGUGAUAUGCAAUACCGAUAUGCAGUUCCUUUUCAAAUAGAGCAAAUAAAGUCCACUAGCAUAAAAGUGGAGAUUUUUUUAGUCUAAGGAACUGUGACAUAUUAGGAGUUUUAGACCCUUUAUUUUACCAUAACUAAUGUGAAAACACAAUUUUGCCUCUGGUUUUGCUUGUUGUGUGAUCUUUUUGUAGACACAGGAAGCAUCUAUCUCAGUGUAUUUUAUGUGGCACUGCACUAUUUCACGGGAGAAUAUUCUGGAAGCUGACAGUUGUGUAUGGAUUUUCAGAUGAGAUACUUUAAAUAUUAAUAUCAAUGAUAUCUUGGUCACUAAUCUCCUUGGCAAAAUGCCAUUAUUUACCCUUUGUUCAUUUUCACCCUGUUUACACAAAGGGGAAAAAUUUAGAGCAUGAAAAAUCCAACUCUUCACAGCAUCAGAAACUACUUGGACUACACUCCAUGGAAUUAUUGUACAUUUCUAGAUGUGUAUCUAGAAGCAGCAUUAGGUCAUAGUUACCAAACUGUGAAUUAAAUAGCUGCAAAUACUACCUCAACAUAAAACCGUAGUUCUUCCUUACAUAUCCCCCAUCCUUCAAACUUGUAAUAUUUGAUCUCUUAGGUAAGUAACAUUCCCAUCAUAUACUUUACAGGUUAUAUAGAAAGCAUAUAUUUAUAUGAUUUUUAAACAAGCAAAUACAAAUAGAGAAAAAUAUCUGGGAAAACAAUAUUUAAAUUUGCUUCAUACAACAUACAAACCUUGAUAUACAUCUAAGAAUUACUUGUACAAAUUUAAGGAGUUUUUAAAAAGAUGGUUAUGUUAGCAUCCUUUAUAUUAGCCAAAGGGUCCUUUUGUUUACUCUCCACCUUCUGCCACAAUGUGUAAUGAGACAAUACAUUGGAUUAAAGCAGCAGUUUGACUGCAUUUGCUGUCUUUUCUAACCAAUGCAUACAUGUAAUCCUUGUGUUGUGCCCCACCCAUCCUUACACACAAACAAUGAGGAUGCAUAAGGACCAGUACAAGCAUGUUUGUAAUGUAGUCUCUUUGCCUACUGAAAAAUAAUCACUAAUGCAACUCUCAGCACUCAGAUCUCAAAAGCUUUGCUUACAACAAGGGUAGUUUUAAGUGGCUUGCAGGGAGGUGUACAUGUUGAAUGCAGAGGAAGACUGGGGUAGAAGCUCUGGGUAUAAUUUUCCUUUUUGGUUAGUUUUUUCAGUAAGAUUUCUUUAGUACAAAUCACGUGAUUUGGAACCAGAGUCUCACCUCUUGCUCCCAUUCUUCCUCAGAUCAGAGUACUUUAGGUGGUAGCUAAUAUGAAUCCUACAGGUAUGCUCAUAAUGGGUGCAAUCAGUGCAGAACAGGAGCUUGGGCUUUAGCACUGUGUAUUAGAAAUUUCUGUUUAGUAUAGCACAUCAUCAUCUCUCCUAAAAGAGAGAUAUUUCACACCCUUCUGGGAAUAUAUGUAAUCAUCCAUCUAUUCUAUAGGCUCCACCUGAGAGCAUUUGAGCUUAGAAUUUGAGCCUGGAUUAGUAUCUUGCAUAUAUGCUAAGAAUUUACAGUGGGAUUGGGGAAGUUUGCAUGGAGAGUUCUUUUGUUCUGCUGUAUGCCUCAGAAAUAAAAUUGGUGGCAUUAAAUAUUUGAAACUAUUGAAAACAUUGCCUGUAUUAUCAUAUGGUCUAACGAUUCAGUAGCAGCAUUUUUCCUGGUGUUCUUGGCUUCUGUAAAAGUCACUAGAUGAACAUGACUCAGUGGAUCAGGUGAAGCAGAUUGUUGUCUUGGCUGACUUGCACAUUUGCUGUGGAAAUUUGGAGCAUGGAAUGAAGAAGGGAUGAUGCUGUAGAAGUGGAAUAAAUGCUGACCUGAAGAACUAUAGUUUGGUCUUUGCCAGACAGUUCUUGUGUAUCACCUGGCAAAUUAUUUAAACCAAUUUCUUUACGAAGUAGACCUGUUUGCUUAUUUGAAGACUAAUGUCCUUCUCCACUACAGCUGUGAAAAGAGGCCAGCUCUGUUCAGAGCUCACACGUUGGACUUUUCCUAUCUAUGUGGAUACACAUCCAUCCUCCACUUCCAGAUUAAAUGUAUAAAGACAGAAAGAAUAA